rnacentral:rRNA from 1 species
GAUGAACGCUGGCGGCGUGCCUAAUACAUGCAAGUCGAGCGAACGGACGAGAAGCUUGCUUCUCUGAUGUUAGCGGCGGACGGGUGAGUAACACGUGGAUAACCUACCUAUAAGACUGGGAUAACUUCGGGAAACCGGAGCUAAUACCGGAUAAUAUUUUGAACCGCAUGGUUCAAAAGUGAAAGACGGUCUUGCUGUCACUUAUAGAUGGAUCCGCGCUGCAUUAGCUAGUUGGUAAGGUAACGGCUUACCAAGGCAACGAUGCAUAGCCGACCUGAGAGGGUGAUCGGCCACACUGGAACUGAGACACGGUCCAGACUCCUACGGGAGGCAGCAGUAGGGAAUCUUCCGAAAUGGGCGAAAGCCUGACGGAGCAACGCCGCGUGAGUGAUGAAGGUCUUCGGAUCGUAAAACUCUGUUAUUAGGGAAGAACAUAUGUGUAAGUAACUGUGCACAUCUUGACGGUACCUAAUCAGAAAGCCACGGAUAACUACGUG